ACUACACAUAAACUACACAUAAACCUACAAAAGCUCCUGAUGCUGACACCGAACCCCCAACUACAACAACAGCUCGCCCCUGAACACCUGACACCACCACAAAGAAACCAACCCUGGCUCCUGUCACUACCGCCAUGGCAACACCGAGUCCACCUAUGGAGGCUCCAGCGCUGAUGUGUGGGUUAGAACCUCCUAGAGGUGGGUCUCAGCAGGGCUGGUCUGGAGUCCAUUGGUCUGGAUGCUUCCACUGCUCACCUGGCCGACCAGCUCUGCUCCUCCCACCAGGAGCAUAUGAGGACACAGUGUGGCACCCCCUGGAAUCAAGGCGGGCAGCUGUGGAAACCCUUAAGACUUGUUCAAGGAGGAAGAUCCACUCCGUAUCCUGCUCUGUCCCGAUCAAGACCCUUACUAUCGGACCAAUCACCUAUCUAGACCCCUGGCUGCCAUGGGAGGAGUGUUGCGCUACGGUAACAAGUCUGCUUUUUAACAGAGCACCAUGUCCCUGCCCUAAACAUCAACAAUGACCCAUCAAGAGUAAUCCGGAUGUGCCAGAGGGUGAUAUACCAAGCACAAAGCUACCAGUAAACAGAAACUCUUGUCUUUUUAUCACAUGAUACUGACGCAACAAGUUGUUUAGAGUGUUAAAAAAUGCAGUUGAACAAAUGAAUAGACUGUUGCACUUAUGACGCUUCGACCACACCGACAGUGGUUUUGCGCAAAAUAGUACGCAGCAUCAUCUGUAUAUGUAUGCGACAAAAGUUCAACAUUCACGUUCUGCUACCGUUUCUGUCAAGCCGUCGACAUACAGUUUGACGUACGUUCGACAUUUCAGUAGCCUAAUAGUACAUGAAUUGUGGGAUCUACGCCAUUAUACCACUAGAUGGCAGCAAAUAUGUACUUUUCAUUGACAGUAUUAGUAAUUCUGAGGUUGGAAAGAUUUUACUUCUAUUAUUUGACAUGGCCAUGUAUUUCAAUAAACUCCCAAUCACACUGGAUUAUUCAAAACCAAUUCCCAUACUACCCACACCCUAAUAAAGCCUUUUUACAGAACCAGACACCAUCACUACACCUCAUACAAGUACUUGGGAGUAUGGCAAGACAGUUCACUUUCCUUCUCUCAGCACAUAUCAAAGCUGCAGGCUAAAAUUAAAUCUAGACUUGGUUUCCUCUAUCGUAAUCACUCCUCUUUCACCCCAGCUGCCAAACUAACCCUGAUUCAGAUGACUAUCCUACCCAUGUUAGAGUACAGAGACGUAAUUUAUAGAUCGGCAGGUAAGGGUGCUCUCGAGCAGCUAGAUGUUCUUUACCAUUCGGCCAUUAGAUUUGCCUCCAACGCUCCUUAUAGGACACAUCACUUCACUCUAUACUCCUCUGUAAACUGGUCAUCUCUGUAUACCCGUCGCAAGACCCACUGGUUGAUGCUUAUUUAUAAAACCCUCUUAGGCCUCACUCCCCCCUAUCUGAGAUACCUACUGCAGCCCUCAUCCUCCACAUACAACACCCGUUCACUCCCCCCUAUCUGAGAUAUCUACUGCAGCCCUCACCCUCCACAUACAACACCCGUUCUACCAGUCACAUUCUGUUAAAGGUCCCCAAAGCACACACAUCCCUGGGUCGCUCGUCUUUUCAGUUCGCUGCAGCUAGCGACUGGAACGAGCUGCAACAAACACUCAAACUGGACCGUUUUAUCUGCAUCUCUUCAUUCAAAGACUCAAUCAUGGACACUCUUACUGACAGUUGUGGCUGCUUUGUGUGAUGUAUUGUUGUCUCUACCUUCUUGACCUUUGUGCUGUUGACUGUGCCCAAUAAUGUUUGUACCCUGUUUUGUGCUGCUACCAUGUUGUUGUCAUGUUGUGUUGCUACCAUGCUGUGUUGUCAUGUGUUGUGCCUUGCUAUGUUGUUGUCUUAGGUCUGUCUGUAUGUAGUGUUGUUGUCUC
rnacentral:lncRNA from 1 species